AUUACUUUAGCAUAGGAAUGGAUGCUCAAGUGGCAUAUGGUUUCCACCAUUUACGUAAUGAAAAGCCUUAUCUUGCACAAGGUCCUAUAACAAAUAAGUUAAUAUACUCUGGUUACAGUUGCAGUCAGGGUUGGUUCUUCACACCGUGCGUAAGUGAUCCAAGUUUAAGGGGACUGAAAAAUAUCCUGAGGUUGCAUGUUAAAAAAGUUAAUUGCUCAGAAUGGGAGCAUAUUCCAGUUCCUAAAAGUGUAAGGGCAAUAGUUGCUUUGAACCUUCACAAUUAUGGAAGCGGAAGAAAUCCAUGGGGCAGUCCGAAUCCAGAGUAUUUGGAAAAGAGGGGGUUUGUUGAGGCCCAUGCUGAUGAUGGUCUCCUAGAAAUUUUUGGUUUAAAGCAAGGAUGGCAUGCAUCUUUUGUAAUGGUUGAACUCAUAUCUGCUAAACACAUAGCCCAGGCUGCGGCAAUUCGAUUGGAAAUAAGGGGUGGAGAAUGGAAAGAUGCGUACAUGCAGAUGGAUGGUGAACCCUGGAAACAGCCAAUGAGCAAGGAGUACUCUUCAUUUGUGGAAAUUAAGAGGGUGCCUUUUCAGUCCCUUAUGAUCAGUGGAGAGUAACUUGCUGGUUUGCCCACUAGCCCUUGAUUCAAGUGUGGCGUCACUAGGUUUAUUGCUUUCUCAACCAAGAUGAGUGAUCACUGAUCAGUGUAAAGUAUGGUUUUCUCCCCAGGGGCUUGUAAAUUAUAGUUAUCUGCUAGGUUAGUAGCUGAUGGGUAUUUGUUGUAUGAAAUUUCAUUUGAUUGCCAAUUCUUGAUUUCGUUUUUUGGUUCAUUUGUUGGAGGAAUGUUUAAUUACCAGGCGUUGCGAGUGCUUAAAUAAAUGAUUCCACAAGGAAAAAUGGGUCUUAUAGAAUUAAAUUUGUAGCAGUGAAUUCAUUAACAGUAAUUAUUGACUGGU
rnacentral:misc_RNA from 1 species